rnacentral:snoRNA from 1 species
AAGGUGGACGAGGAAGAUGUUGUCUCUCACAUCCUCGCUGGACUUGAUGAGGAGUUCGACCCCGUGGUAUCUGCCAUAUGUUCAAGGGUCGAGCAUGUCGGGGUUCCGGAGCUGUACUCGCAGCUCCUAAGCUUCGAGA